GGAAGGAGAAGUCGUAACAAGGUCUCCGUUGGUGAACCAGCGGAGGGAUCAUU
rnacentral:rRNA from 1 species